rnacentral:misc_RNA from 1 species
CAAGGCUACAAAUCUAUGAUUAGUGGGUUAUGUGAAAUGGGUAGGCCUAGAGAAGCAGAAGAUUUGAUUGAAGAGAUGAGAGGCAAAGGAGUGAAGCCAUCAGUAUUUGAGUUUAGGUGUGUUCUUUAUGGGUAUGGAAUAUUAGGAUUGUUUGAAGAAAUGCAGAGCAGUGUCGUCCAAAUGGAAAGUUCAGGGUUUGAAGUUGAUACAGUUUGUUCAAAUAUGAUUCUUUCAUCCUAUGGAUCUUAUAAUGCACUUACUGAAAUGGGAUUAUUUCUCCAAAAGAUGAAGGAUUUGGGCAUUCCAUUCUCAUUAAGGACUUUCAAUUCGGUCUUGAAUUCAUGUCCU